rnacentral:rRNA from 1 species
UACGGGGGGGGCAAGCGUUGUUCGGAAUUACUGGGCGUAAAGGGCUCGUAGGCGGCCAACUAAGUCGGACGUGAAAUCCCCAGGCUCAACCUGGGAACUGCGUCCGAUACUGGAUGGCUUGAAUCCGGGAGAGGGAUGCAGAACUCCAGGUGUAGCGGUGAAAUGCGUAGAUAUCUGGAGGAAUACCGGUGGCGAAGGCGGGUCUCUGGGCCGUAACUGACGCUGAGGAGCGAAAGCAUGGGGAGCGAACAGG